UACGUAGGGUGCAAGCGUUGUCCGGAAUUAUUGGGCGUAAAGAGCUCGUAGGCGGUCUGUCGCGUCGGCUGUGAAAACUCGGGGCUCAACUCCGAGCUUGCAGUCGAUACGGGCAGGCUAGAGUUCGGCAGGGGAGACUGGAAUUCCUGGUGUAGCGGUGAAAUGCGCAGAUAUCAGGAGGAACACCGGUGGCGAAGGCGGCCCGCUGGGCAGUGGCUGACGCUGAGGCGCGACAGCGUGGGGAGCAAACAGG
rnacentral:rRNA from 1 species